rnacentral:rRNA from 1 species
ACUCCUACGGGAGGCAGCAGUGGGGAAUAUUGGGACAAUGGGGGAACCCUGAUCCAGCCAUGCCGCGUGUGUGAAGAAGGCCCUUCGGGUUGUAAAGCACUUUCAGUGGGGAGGAAAGGUUGUUGGUUAAUACCUAGCAGCCUGUGACGUUACCCACAGAAGAAGCACCGGCUAACUCCGUGCCAGCAGCCGCGGUAAUACGGAGGGUGCAAGCGUUAAUCGGAAUUACUGGGCGUAAAGCGUGCGCAGGCGGGUCUGUUAAGC